rnacentral:snRNA from 1 species
AGUGACAGAGGGUGGUACAACAAGACAACGCCCUCGCCUUUUACUAGGGCGUUCCGUGUACUACCCUCACCUCAAUGUCACCUUGCCAAUUUUUCAGCAUUCAGCUUCGUUGCGGAGU